GCAGUAGCCGCGGGAAUACGUAGGGUGCGAGCGUUAAUCGGAAUUACUGGGCGUAAAGCGUGCGCAGGCGGUUGUGUAAGACAGGUGUGAAAUCCCCGGGCUUAACCUGGGAACUGCGCUUGUGACUGCACAGCUAGAGUAUGGCAGAGGGGGGUGGAAUUCCACGUGUAGCAGUGAAAUGCGUAGAGAUGUGGAGGAACACCGAUGGCGAAGGCAGCCCCCUGGGCCAAUACUGACGCUCAUGCACGAAAGCGUGGGGAGCAAACAGGAUUAGAUACCCCCGUAGUCCCUGUCUCUUAUAC
rnacentral:rRNA from 1 species